GUUUAACACGAUUAAAUCCUCUUUGUUUCAUUACAGACAUCAAUUCGAAAACAAACAGUGUGAUCAAGAUAAAGGCCUGGAGCAGCAUUCUGUUUCUCUUUCUCUUCUUUUUCUCAGAGAGCUAUCACCACCUCUCAGUGGACAGGCUUAAAGGAACUUAACUGGCUCACAGAAAAUUGAUGAGCUGAGCUGAGCAGGUGUACAGGAAAGCUUUGCGCUGCAGGGUUAGGCAAUGGAAAAAGUGUGAAGCACUUAUGUCCAUGACCAGAUCGAGUGAUAAGAGGACCGGCUUCCUUUGCUAUCUAAUUAAUUGUCUUUCUUUUCAAAACAUGGUCUUUGAUUUCAAGAAGCACCUGAAGAAGCAUAACCUCUUGGCGGCUCCACUUCUGUUCUUCGAAUGGUCAUCUUCUGCCUCCAGGAAAGGAAUAUGAGGAAUCGAGAAUGACAAUCAUGAAGGCCAA